rnacentral:rRNA from 1 species
GACGAACGCUGGCGGCGUGCUUAACACAUGCAAGUCGAACGGAAAGGCCCUGCUUUUGUGGGGUGCUCGAGUGGCGAACGGGUGAGUAACACGUGAGUAACCUGCCCUUGACUUUGGGAUAACUUCAGGAAACUGGGGCUAAUACCGGAUAGGAGCUCCUGCUGCAUGGUGGGGGUUGGAAAGUUUCGGCGGUUGGGGCUGGACUCGCGGCUUAUCAGCUUGUUGGUGGGGUAGUGGCCUACCAAGGCUUUGACGGGUAGCCGGCCUGAGAGGGUGACCGGCCACAUUGGGACUGAGGUACGGACCAGACUGCUACGGGAGGCAGAAGUGGGGAAUAUUGCACAAUGGGGGGAAGCCUGAUGCAGCAACGCCGCGUGCGGGAUGACGGCCUUCGGGUUGUAAACCGCUUUCGCCUGUGACGAAGCGUGAGUGACGGUAAUGGGUAAAGAAGCACCGGCUAACUACGUG